GAUGAACGCUGACAGAAUGCUUAACACAUGCAAGUCGAUGGGGAAGUGGUGCUUGCACCAUGGCAACCAUGGCGGACGGGUGAGUAACGCGUAAGGGACUUACCUGCAGGACUGGGAUAACAGGGGGAAACUCCUGACAAGACCGGAUAAUGUCAUGGAGCUGCAUGGCUUUAUGAUGAAAGGAGACGCCUGCGGAGAGCCUUGCGUCCUAUUGGCUAGAUGGUGAGGUAAUGGCUCACCAAGGCGAAGAUAGGUAGCCGGCCUGAGAGGGUGGACGGCCACAAGGGGACUGAGAUACGGCCCUUACUCCUACGGGAGGCAGCAGUGGGGAAUAUUGGACAAUGGGGGCAACCCUGAUCCAGCAAUUCUGUGUGCACGAAGAAGGUUUUCGGAUUGUAAAGUGCUUUCAGCAGGGAAGAAGUAAGUGACGGUACCUGCAGAAGAAGCGACUGCUAAAUACGUG
rnacentral:rRNA from 1 species